rnacentral:lncRNA from 1 species
UUUUGGCAACCAGGAAGGGACCUCCAAAGCGACCUGCCACUGACUCCCAUCCCUCCGGAUCCGGCAGGCUGUCCGCUGUGCUCCUGAACCAGCGAGGCACCCAUUGCCAAUCCUGAUUGGGCUAAAGGCUUGCCGUUGUUCCUGCACGGCUAAGUGCCCAGGUUCAUCCUAAUUGAGCUGAACACUAGUCACUGGGUUCCACGGUUCUCUUCCAUGACCCAUGGCUUCUAAUAGAGCUAUAACACUCACCGCACGGCCCAAGAUUCCAUUCCUUGGAAUCUGUGAGGCCAAGAACCCCAGGUCAGAGAACACGAGGCUAGCCACCAUCUUGGAAGUGGCCUACCACCAUCUUGGAAGUGGCUCGCCACCAUCUGAGGAGCUCUGUGAGCAAGGACCCCCGGGAGAAAGCAUUUAUGGUGAGGAGAAAAGCAGCUGGUAUCACACUCUACCCAAGUCCCAAAAGCAGGUUCACAUAACUCCUGUCUUCAUUAUCUGAUAUCCGUAUGAAGAAUGUAAGAUAGAAAAAAACAUUAGCAUUUGAGAGGAUUGAAAGAGAAGCAUUCUCAGCAGAGCCAAGAUUCACUUAGAACAAAAGGUCUGCAGGUGUACCCAACAGCUCCGAAGAGACAGCGACCAUCAAGAACAGGCCAAGAUGACGAUGGCAGUUUUGUCG